GACGAACGCUGGCGGCGUGCUUAACACAUGCAAGUCGAACGGAAAGGCCCUGCUUGCAGGGUACUCGAGUGGCGAACGGGUGAGUAACACGUGGGUGAUCUGCCCUGCACUUCGGGAUAAGCUUGGGAAACUGGGUCUAAUACCGGAUAGGACCGCACUUUAGUGUGUGUGGUGGAAAGUUUUUUCGGUGUAGGAUGAGCUCGCGGCCUAUCAGCUUGUUGGUGGGGUAAUGGCCUACCAAGGCGGCGACGGGUAGCCGGCCUGAGAGGGUGUACGGCCACAUUGGGACUGAGAUACGGCCCAGACUCCUACGGGAGGCAGCAGUGGGGAAUAUUGCACAAUGGGCGCAAGCCUGAUGCAGCGACGCCGCGUGGGGGAGGAAGGCCUUCGGGUUGUAAACUCCUUUCGCUAGGGACGAAGCUUUUUGUGACGGUACCUAGAUAAGAAGCACCGGCUAACUACGUG
rnacentral:rRNA from 1 species